rnacentral:lncRNA from 1 species
UCUUCAGCACAAGAAGGUCGAGGACUGGCAGCUCCAGUCCCUACUCUCAUUUAAUAUCUAUAGAAGAAUACUGUAGACUUCGGAAUAUCAUGCUGGCGAGCCUGCAUC